rnacentral:rRNA from 1 species
AGGACGAACGCUGGCGGCGUGCUUAACACAUGCAAGUCGAGCGGAAAGGCCCUUCGGGGUACUCGAGCGGCGAACGGGUGAGUAACACGUGAGUAACCUGCCCCAGGCUUUGGGAUAACCCUCGGAAACGGGGGCUAAUACCGGAUAUUCAUUUCUCGUGGCAUCACGGGUUGUGGAAAGUUUUUCGGCUUGGGAUGGGCUCGCGGCCUAUCAGCUUGUUGGUGGGGUGAUGGCCUACCAAGGCGACGACGGGUAGCCGGCCUGAGAGGGCGACCGGCCACGACUGGGACUGAGACACGGCCCAGACUCCUACGGGAGGCAGCAGUGGGGAAUAUUGCACAAUGGGCGGAAGCCUGAUGCAGCGACGCCGCGUGAGGGAUGAAGGCCUUCGGGUUGGUAAACCUCUUUCGACAGGGACGAAGCGCAAGUGACGGUACCUGGAGAAGAAGACGCCGGCCAACUACGUGCCAGCAGCCGC